rnacentral:lncRNA from 1 species
AAAAAAAAAAUCCAAAUUCCUAUUGAAGUUUAUAUUAAAAAAAUUCCAAAACCCUAGCUCCAAUAAAUUGGGCCUAAAAGACAAGGUGUGUGGGAACCCGUCGCAGAGCCACACCUUCCCAAUGGUACAAUUGCUGCAGGGCAGUGAGCAAUGGUCUGCAACACAUACAUACAACCAAACAAAGAUAGGAAACAGUAUACACCGUAAACAACACAAGAAGUAUCCGGAAAACAGAAGAAAUAUUACAAAGGAAAAAUAGUUUUACAGUCUAGCCCAUUUGAUGUCGCUGUAUGGCCAGACAGAGUCGUUCUGUACAAGUCCUUCACUCCUUGUCACCUGGUUGGCUAGUUCCAGUAACUUAUAAGUUCUGCAAAUCGGUACUUCGUUAAGUCCACACAUGACACUAGCAAGUGCAGUCACAGCCUAUAGUAAGUCCUUAAGUAGACCACCACAAAAAUCAUGAAAUACGUACUUGUAAAAGCUCAAUAUCUUAUUAAUAGGAAUAGAAACCUCACAUAACAAGUGAAAUCUAGACCUACUUGGACAUCUUGAUGUAAGCUACAUGAGAUUGAUUAGCUACUUUAGUUAAAGUACCUAACUCAUAUGCGAUUAGACACUUUGACGACUCUUCCCUAUAGAAGAAACCCAAACACCCACAAUCUUGGUUGCAUUUUCCCCUGCACUCACUUACCUUCACAGGUCCUUCUCCUUCUGUGACCUCACUGGUGAAGUGCUCAACACCGACAACUUUGUAGUAAGAUGCCUUGAUGGGUGGUGACCCGUUCUUGCAAGGAGGUAGUGUUGGGGAAGCACAAGUCUCACUCCACGCUAAAAGGAUGCCCUUCGGGCUUGGGCAACCAACACAAUUGUUAUUCAAACAAACACCAUAUGACCCACAUCUUGAAGGUAACCUGCACUCACUGACACUUCGUGAGCCUUCUUCAUUUCUAUUGAAGAGUCUGUAUGUGACUUCCCAAGAACCUCUAAUUAUCCUAUCAUCGUAUGUGUGGAUUCUCAGAUUACCAUCUGAUUCCACUCGCAGGAAUGAUAGGAUAGAAUUGUAUCUCGGCCUCGCCAAUCUGGGAGAAAAAGGAGUUGUAGAGUUGUGUACAUAGAAAUCUAAGUUUAGAUUGUAGACAUAUGCAUCUUCUGGCUCAGGUACACUAUUGAACACCACACUAUCUAUGAUUUCAAAGCCACCUUGAUCUACAAGAACGUGAUAAAGAAUAGGUUUGGGGGAAUUCUUACUUUUUAGAUACAUAACCACUCUUUGUUUUUCCAAAACAACACUGUAAGGACCCUUAGAUCCAUCGACAUUAGACACUCGGCUAAUUAGCUCAGUGGUUCCACCAGAACGAAUCCCCUGACCAACCAAAAGAGUGUCGGUCGGGUAGUUAAAACUCUGCCACACAAAUCUGCCACGAUUGUCUUGAAGAACAAGAUUACCAUUUCGAAGAAGACUGAUUCCCACAACACCCUUAUUUGCUGUACCAGUCUGCCAUGCUACUCGACCAUUAGCCUCAGCAAGAACAAGAUUGCCAUUUCUACCGAAGGUUAGUGUGGCAUUUUCACCUACUGGGUUAUCCCGAUUAGCAGCCCAGACCCACCGCAUAAUGUUAGAUGAAGAGCCUUCCCGACGCAUACCCAUACGCAACGCGAGUGUGUAAGCACUAGGGGUGGUAUUAUAAAAACAAAGAGCAAAACCAUUUUCUUGAAAAAAGUACUCAUCAUUAUUGACUAGCCGGUAGUUUGAAUCGUACUCAUCGGGAUAAUCACCAUAACCGCCUUCAUUAACAAUUACAAAAGUUUUGUUGGCAGGAACAACAGCUUGAACUACAAUGGAGAAAAGUAAGAUUAUGAAGAAAGGUAGUGGAAUGGAAAUAGCUAGAGACAUUGUUGUGUAUGUAAUUCAGGUUCACUUCUUUGAAUGUUUGAAGAAACAGAAGUAUAUAUUUAUAACAGAGUUAAGGCAUCCAAGGUGAGUAAAGUAAUGGAUAUUCUAUAUUUAAAGUCAUCUUCUUGGGGGAUAGACAUAAUCAGCUGGCAGAUGGUGAUGGGAAUAAAAUUAUUGGACUCGAGCCCGCCUCAUUGGACUAAAAUAAUUAAUAGGUUGUGCAGACAUGGUUGGGUGAGCAUGUGGAUAUGCAGGUAUACAGUGAAACCUAGCUAAAUGUACCCCUGGUAAAGUCACACCCUACGUAAACCCACUGGAAAUAAUUCAUGCAUAUUUUCACUUUAUAAACGCACACAUUAUCCAAACAAAUGAAUUUUGUGAAUGAGCCUGUAGCUCAAUGGUAGCACCCCUCUCACAAAGUAGAGAGGUUGUGGGUUCGAAACACGUCAACAGCUGGGUUGUUGAUAUAAGUUUUCAUACGUAAUUUAAAGGGGUAAGGGUCCCUUAACCAUGCUAGCCAACAACAAAAAAAAAAACAACAAAAAUUUUAUAUGUUGUGAUUUUUUUAUGUAGGAUUUGUAGGAAGAAUAAUACAAUACCUUAACCCCAAAAAUUCUUUUUUCAGCCUAUUGCCCUUUUUGUUUGUGGCCACCACGAGCCAAUCAAAACAUAACAUGUGUCAGUUGAGUUACCAAUUUAAGCCCACUAGAUUUCACUGCACCCAUACUUGGGGAUAUUUUAGUAAAUAAAUAAAACUUUAUAACGCAUGGCGUGUUGUGCUUGGAGCCCUCAUGACCACAUACAAAAUUGGGGCCACAGUGUAAUUUUUCUGCCAAAAACUUUUAUAUGUUGUGAUUUUUUGGUGUGGGCUUGUGGAAAUUAUUUAAGUGUUGUCAGUGUAAAAUUGUGAUCAGAAGUUCAGAACUACUAAGUCACAUAUAGGGAUUGAAAAUUUGUUUAAAUGAAAACAGAUAUCAUAAUCAACUCGGUAAAAUGAUCAAAAAAUACAACGUACUUUCACAAUUUUUUCACUUUAUACAAUGUACUAAAAAUCACGCCAAAAUAUCAAUGUACUUUGAAAAAAAUUUCACGUUAUACAAUCUGUCUAAAACUAGCUAACGGACUGCUUACGUAGCUAAUAAUUAUCUACAUGUAUUUAUUUUUUUUAAAGAAAUAUUGAGUUGUAAAAUUAAAACCAACAUAUCUACUUUAAAACGUGUCAUCAAAUCAUGUCAACAAAUGUUUAGAUCUAAACCGUCCAUUAAUCCCAAGAUGUUAGAGAUAUAGAUGCAUUAUUUUUUUAGUUGUUAUCUCUAUGAUAGAAAAUAUCAAGUAUAGGAAACUAUGAAACCUUAAAUCAACAUCUCUUCCAUCUUUCUUUCUCAUAGCAACAUUGAACCCUAAAUCUUCUCUUUAAUUCUUUAAAUCCUAAUUUUAAUUAACCAUUUUCUCACAACUAAAACCCCUACUUUCAAUAAAAAAAACUAAUGUAUGGUGAAUUGGUGAAUUGAAUCGGUGUGGAACAAUAUAAUCUUGUUGUGUGUGUAAAAGAAAAAUCUUCUUUCAAGUAAGUACUAACUAGUAGUUAGUUUAACACUAAAAGAUGAAGACACAAAAGCUAGGGUUUGAAAUUGAAUUGAAGAUUUGAAUUGGGGAUUUACAGAUUUGGGGAUUUUUACAUUUGUUGAAUUCAAUUGUUAAAAUAGGGAAGAAGAAGGUCAAUCAUGUGAGAAACAUUAGCCUCAUUUGAUGGCUUGGAAAUGUUGUUUAAUUUUUUUUUUUUUUAAAUACACGUAGAUAAUUAUUGGCCACGUAAGCAGUCCGUUAGCUAAUUUUAGACAGAUUGUAUAACGUAUAAUUUUUUUCAAAGUACAUUGAUAUUUUGGCGUGAUUUUUAGUACAUUGUAUAAAGUAAAAAAAAUUGUUAAAGUACAUUGUAUUUUUUGAUCAUUUUACCUAAUCAACUCCCUGGAAAUUAUUGAGUCGAGUUGAUUUCAUAGAGUGGCAAACUGGCAGAAAAAUUACAAGCUAAAGCGCACAACAAAGACAAGCAUCAUGUUACUAUAGUGGGAUGAAUGAAGUCAGUGCUAAAUACUUAGCAGUAACAGAUUUGGCAUGUAUAAUCGACUAAAAGUAAUUAACUCUGCUUUGUACGAGUUCGAAAUACCAAGACAGACAUGAUGCAAGACCACUUCGUGAACCAAACACUGUACGAGUGACACUGUUUAAAUCAGAUUGAGAGCGCUCUUUCAGAUGCCUUGUUGUCCUCAGGUACGAGAAUUCUUUUUCUGUUGUAGUAGUAAAUGCUACACACUGGAUAACACAAACCAAGAUCAUUGAUAACCAUGGUAGAUUCAAAUGCAUCAGUCAGUGCCUCACAAGUACGAGAGCAGAUAAUUAAUUUAUCAUAGGCACACUGGCAUGCAUUCGAUGAAUGCAAUUCUUCUGUUACUCAUUGCUAUGAUUUUCACACAAAGAAUAACUAGGCAGGUAAAAAUCAGGGGUAAUUAUAACUUAUAAGCACUCUCCAAUCAGUAGCACUGCAUGUGGAGUGAAUAUAAAGCAUCUAUUAGGAGAAGCGUAUCGAAUGAAACCAACCACUAUGUAUUUUUUUUAUAGAAGCAUCACGAUACAUAGUCCAAGAAUCCGUUACAUAGCCCUUAAGUAUAUAGCUCAGAGUGAAACUCCACAAACAGUGUUAUUACCACAAUCAGAACUAAUCAAACAAGCAAAUCAAUGAACAUAAAGUAAAUAAACACGCGAUAUUUUUUUAACGUGGUAAAACCUAAUAUGGGAAACGUCCACGGUUGUCCUCUCGACAACAAAUAAAUCUACUAGAUGAAAAGAGAUGUACAAACCUAUCAACUACCUGCAAUCACUGCGAGUUGACACUACUGGUUAUCUCUAACACCUUGACUUCACCAGAGUACCUUGAUGUACGCACAAGACACUCGACUUCUUGAUGAACACACAAGAAGACUCGAAGCCGAUCUCAAUAAUCAAUAAUGAAGAAAAAAGAUGAAUGGAGAGGAAAGAAUGAUUUCAAUCACCAAAACACAACCCUAAACAAACUCAAGAAGAAGACUUCAAUUGGACGGCCAAAGAACUCCCUUGUUCUUUGGUUGAAAACCCUAUUUAUACUUAGGGUUUGGAAAAGAAAGAAAAUGGGCCGAAAACAAGAAAACCAUACGACGACGUACGUACGUCCUAACUAGGUACAUACGUACUGUACCAAACAACAUACUGACAGACUCGAUGAGGAAGGAUACACAGGACGACGCUCACACAUCAAAGUAUUUCCUAAUAAUAAGAUCAAGGCGAGAUAACCUCGGACACAUCAAGUCACAAAAUAAUGUCCAACAACCGAAUGUCGGUUUCAAUCUCACCCUUUGACAUUUAUUUUGGGACAAAAACCUAUGACUCUAAAAGCACUUAUAAUACGUGCUUCCAAACCCAAACCAACGGCAUUUAUAAUACAUGCCUACAAGAACACUCACACUCACACGUACCAAGUCACUAUCACUUGAUAUUCAACUCGAGCAAGAAGCUUUGAUUAUCAGAGACGAGACGGAAGCAAGAACAAUUCUGAACCAAUUAGAGAAAUAAUGGAAGCUUGUAGAACAACUCCCCCAUACUUCAUGAACUCCAAAUUUUAAUACUCGAGCUCCCCCAUAACUGUACAACCUCUAAUCAUCAACACAUUCACUCCCCCAUACGUGUAGCAUACCUGAAACAUGACCCAAAAUACACUAACAGAGAAGAGAAGAGUGUUAGUAUUAGAGUCAUACAUCUCCCCCUUUUUGGCACAAAGAGUGAACAAAGGAAACGAGUAAAAAGAGACAGUAACAAGAGAUAAUGCCGAUAAUAGAAUAUCAAACAGAGAAACAAGAUAGGAAAAUUUCCUUAACAAUCAAGGAUUCACGAAAACAAUGGCAAUCACAAAUAAUAGAGCAAAGAGAAUAAUAGUCUUAAAAGAACAUAAACCUUAACAAAAUCAAACAACGCGAAAAAACGCGUUCCCAAUGACCUAGAUGAAUCUUAAAGAAGUAAGCAUCAACACGAGCCGAGGGAUUUUCCCAUCGAUCUACAAUAUGGUCUUCAUAAUCUUCUAUCCAUUCACCUGUACAGAAUAGUUCUUCAAUUCUGCUAUCCAAACCGCAGUCGGUGAAAGGACCAAUGAAACCUGAAACUUUCGGAAAACCAACUAACUCCAAGAUGUGACAUUGGAGAUGCUUAGGCAAACGCUUCCAAUGAUUCACAUGAACCAUACAAGGAUUAAGAAAUGGACGAUGAAUAAAAUCAUAACCAUGAGGCACACGACAUAUACGACAAACCUUUGUAGGAUUCUUGUAUUCCAUCACCAUGAAAGAGACAUAACCAACAAGAGGAACAAAAACACCAUGAAACUCAAAUUCCUCCAUUGAAGACAUCUGUAAACGAAGAAGGAUACUAGAAGAGGAGUGAAAAAAAAUAGAAGAAGAAAAACACAAAGAAGCAAUAUAUAUAGGCAAGGAAAAACAAAAACGAUACUUGGGCCCGACAAAAGCCCAUAACCUAAUAAUCACCUCCUUAACACAAAUAGAAUAAAGCAUCAAAAGUACUUAAACAAACAUUAACCUAACAAGUUUUAAUCCUAAACAACCAAAAUAAAAAAUAGGAAACAAGGAAAUAAAGAAAAAAAAAAGAGCUACUCCUCUGAACCAGAACUAUCAUCACCAGAACCACCUUCGACACCAUCAUCACCAUCGUCCUCACUCUCUUCCCCAGACUCGUCACCACCCUCAUCACUAGCACUUAGUGGAUCCUCGGUCGGAAACGGAGGCAAUGUGAUAAGAGUGUAGUCAAUCUGGAGAUGCCUCAUCCAGGCAACAUUCAUCCCAUUAAUGUCUCGAAGAAUGGCAUCAUGCUGGGAGAUAAUGGUGCCAAUACGAUCAAUCCUUGCAUCAGUGUGACUUUGAUGACGUCGAAGAGAGGAGACACGAGCUUCAACUGCAGCCACAACCCGGUUACUACGAACUGAGGAAGUCAAAGGACGCCCAGAAACCAAAGCACGAUCAAAGUCAUCGCGCCUAUCAAGAGUUCUACCUCCCCAAACCAGAUGGUGGGUCAGUGAGGCACCUACAGCUUCAAAGGUCGCCCUCCUAGACGGACACCCCUUCUUGAUAGCAUUCGCCCAAUCAUGAACAACAAAACGGGGAAGGGACACCUCUGUAUACUUUCCACGAAAACCCAAAUGCAGAAGAAUACAGAUGAUGAAGCUAGGAAAAGGAAGUGUACCCUUAGCAGCAUCUAUUUGAAGCAUCCGAUGAAAAAUAAACAGACAUACACACGAUCAGCUUGAUCAUCUCAUCCGUAAUAAUAAUUUUGUUUCCCCUCGACGGUUAUGUCGUUGGGAAAUCCUUACCUCUUUAUUGGUGAGGCAGAGAUUUCAUGAUCGAUAACUUGUGUAAUGAAAAGAUGGGUCGAGAGAGUUCACACUCGUCCAUAAAAUGCCUUAUGGGGGCUAGGAGUGUGUGAUGCCACAGGUUGGUACCUAAUGAGCCAAGAUACCUUGGGUUGGUGCUCAUUAAGCCUCUUCUUCCCCUAAACAGUUAAAUGGAAGUGUUCACAACCGUCCAAUAAGUCUUAUUGAGGCUAGGAACGUGUGAUGCCACAGGUUGGUGCGCGGUAGCCCAAGAUACCUUGGGUUGGUGUUUGUCGGGCCACUUCUCAUAAAAGAUAAUUAAACCGCUAAAGAAAGAAUGGGCAUGUUUAUUUUUCAUACCAGUUGUGUGAUCUUAAGUUCAUGCCAGGUUAGAAUUGAUCGAGUAGGACAUUGGUAAUUGUCGUGGAUAUUCAGUUUAUGCUAAUGGUGUGUAUUAUAGUUCUAUCAUAUCUAUAUGAUGACUUUGUAUGGAUUUGUGGGUUUCUUAAUUUUUGUCUAACUAUGUAGUUAAGUCGAGUAAGUAUGGUUUCACUUGCUCGAGCUAUGGUUGACACUCGUUUUACUUUUCCUUUUCAGGAACUCGAUGACUAGUUACACGAGUAGGGAUUUCAUAGAUUGCAGUCCUAUACACCUCUGGUGCCUUUUGAAGUCUAGGAGUAUGUAAUCUUUAGUUGUACCUUUUGAUAUGUUAUAACGAGUAUGAGUUGCUUGAAGUUGUAUAGUUUUGAUCAUAACUUCAGUUUAGAAGCUUGUACAGUAUAUGUGUAAGUGAGUUUUGAUAAUAAAUCUAAAUUCUUUUGUAAGAGCAAUGUGUUCAACCAUAAUAUACUCUUGUUCUAGGUUUUGGGAUGUUACAAGUUUGGUAUCAGAGCAUAGGUUUGUAGGUUCCUAGUGAGUCUAGAAAUUUCAGAUUUUCGAUCUUAGUACUAGAUUCACGUAUCUGUGGCUAGUUUUCGAGUUUGAGUGAGGACGAAUAGUAUUACAUUACUAUUUGUUAUAUUUGUUUUGUGGUAAAAUGGUUGGGAUCCCCUAACAUUCAAAUUGUUUGAAUGUAUAUUUUAAUCUCACCAUGUCAUGUAUGACAAAUGGUAUGCGGAAGUAAUAUAAGUACAGGUGGUUGAACCGCAAGAGUAGCAGAUUUGGUGGGUGGACAGGAUGGAGAGCCUAUAACUACGGCUACCACCUCUACCACUCCACCCAAUGCCACAACUCAAGCAGUUCCGACGGUGUCGAUAGCUCCAAAUACUAAUGUAGCUGGCUGGAUCGGUGCCUGAUUUGGCAACUCUACUGGGACUAUUAAAGCAGACUAUUCAAGGUUUAUCUCAGGGAAAUCAGCAUGGUACGCAGCCUGGGACUGCAGGUCCAAUGUCCAUACCUGUGUUAGGUAUUCCCCAAGUGAGAGGGCAAACACUAGUACCACUGCAGGGAGUGGUGACUUCAGAAUCAGAGGUUUGGAGAUCACUUUUGGGGUAGUUUCUAAAAUUAAAACCUCCACGUUUUGAAGGUUCUAGUGAAUCACAAGUUGCGGCUAAUUGGAAAGUAGAUAUGGAGACGAUUUUGGGAGACAUGGAUUGCAUGACAGUACAAAAGCAAAGGCUUGCUACUCAUUGCCUAUCUGGAGACGCCAAGAAGUGGUGGUUGUCAGUUAGCACUCCCGAAAACCGACAUCUUAUGACUUGGGAUGAAUUUGGUGCCAAGUUUAAUGCACAAUAUUUCUCUGAAAGCAUUAAAUGAGCAAAAGCGCGCUAGAGAAUUACUGAGCUUGAAUCAAGGUACUAUGUCCGUGCCAAAAUAUGAAACAAAGUUCCGACAACUCUCUCAUUUUGCAUCCAAGCUGGUGGCUGAUAAGGAAGAAAAGAUUCGUAUGUUUGAAGAGGGUUUGAUUGAUCCUAUACGCCAUAUAGUGGUUGGGUUCCAUUAGUGAAUUUAUGAUGUUUUGGAGUGUGCUAGAAGACUAGAACAAGAUCAUCUAGCCCACAAGAAGCUGAAGGAUAACCGAAAUGCUAAUGAGAAGCGAGAUAAAGGAAAACAAGGAGAAUUUUCUCAACCACCCCAAAAGAAACAAAAGUCUGAACCUGCACCUUCUACUAAUGAAGUCGGUUAGAAACGACGAUUUACAGAAAAUUGUCAUCAUUGUGGAAACCCAGGUCAUAAAAGGCAAGAGUGCGGAAUUUAGUUGAAGGAAAUGGGUUUUUCUUAUCAGAAACAAUCAGGUAGUGAACAACAAGACCAAGGAUCGAGACCAGCAACUGAUGUGCAUAAACAAUAUGGACAGAAAUCUGGUCCGACACAACAAACUGUUGAUAGAAGGCAUGGGCAAAUGUAUGCCACCAUGAAGACAGAGUCUAUUUCAGAAUCCUCGUCAGAUGUGUUGCCUCAAGGACAAGUAUAUGUUGUUUUGCCCCGAGACAGGGAGGCUAAAGGAGCAUUACUAGAAGGUAAAAUCCUUGUGAAUUUGAAACAUGCCAUAAUACUCUUUGAUGCUGGGGCUCAACACUCUUUUCUAUCAUUUGCAUUCUUUGCAGCAACAUUUUAAAUAAAUAUGUUGCUGAGAAGGAGUAUUGGUCGAUCCACCCCCAUGUUUGGUUAGGACUGUGGGCAUAACUGUUUGUACAGCCCGUGACCUAGUUGAGAGAGUGACAAAGUCCACCUCCGUGUUUAGUUAGGCACGUGCCUAUCAAUUUAUCCGGUAUUCCAAUUUAUAUACAUUGUGGUAGCCUCCCUUUACAAGUUCGAGCUUUUAAAGAAACUGGUUUACAAUAAAUAUGUUAUAGAGAAUUUCUUGUCUCUUCUUCAUGUUGUCGUUGUUGUUGAGUUUCUUUCCUCUAUAUAUAAUCCUACUAUUAGUUCCUAUUGAAGUUUAUAUUAAAUAAAUCCGAAACACUAGCUCCAAUAUAUUGGGCCUAAAAGACAAGGUGUGGGAAACAUAAUUUAAGUUCUUUUGAUCCAUCUUUCAUGUCUUAUUAUUGUAACGCCCCAACUCCGUAUAUCCCAAACGGCCGCUCCGGAAUAUAAGGAAUUGUAGAGCCCAAGCUACUUAACCAACUAGCAAUGACUAACCUGUUCAAGUAACCUGUCUACAGCAAUAAAUACCAUUGCAGAACUCUAAACAACAGGGGACAAUUAGAUAAAAAAAAAAAAAAAAAAACCUGGUAUAUAUAUAUAUAUAUAUAUAUAUAUAUAUAUAUAUAUAUAUAAAUUAAACAUUACCUGUAAGUACAACCAGUUUGAUACAAACUAUAAGAACUGUAAAAAUAACUAUCUCAAAACUAUAUACAAUAACUAUCUCAAAACUAUAUACAGAAUACAGGGUACCAAGUGGAAUUCUAUCACUAAAACCAAUCAAACUAUGUACAUAUCAAAAACUUCUGAAAGUCUAGCCCACCUACGGCACUCGCGAAGCUACUGUAAAUCGAUCUCCUGAAAAAGAUGAAAACAACAAGGGUGAGCCACGGCUCGCAAGUAAAAUCUAAUUCACUCGUCUUACCACCCAGGAUAGAGAUACAUCAGUAAAACUAAACUCACAACACCGAUAAAUAUUAGAUAUUAAAAACAUACGGGGAAAUUAACGUAACAAGACAAAUAUUAUAACCUCAUUUAAUUUAAAGAGUAAUUCAACCUUCGCAAUUACGAGCAAAAUAAUCAACUACUAUAAAUGUGUGUAGAUAACAUCCAACACACGCCCGAAGACACAAGAUAAAAUAUAUGCGGAUAGCAUCCAACAUACGUCUGAAGGCACAGGAUAAAAUGUAUGCGGAUAACAUCCAACAUACGCCCGAAGGCACAGGAUAAAAUGUAUGCGGAUAACAUCCAACACACGCCCGAAGGCACAAGAUAAAAUGUAUGCGGAUAACAUCCAACACACGCCCGAAGGCACGAGUAAUAAGUGUAUGUGGAUAACAUCCAACAUACGCCCGAAGGCACAAAGUGUAAGUGUGUGCGGAUCACAUCCAACACACGGCCGAAGCCACCAAGUGCAAGUGUAUACAGUUAUAUCGACAAAACUCGAUUUCAAGAAUAUACGCACAACAACUAUAAAGACCAUACCAACUCUAUAACCAGAGUUCAAUCAAAACAACCCAAUGUAUAUAUAUUUCUUUAACAAAAGACAUGUUAUCAUCAGUUUCACCAAAAUGAUGUAAAGCAAACCCCUUGACCUAUAUUUCAAAAACAAAUCUGAAAUUGCCGACAUAUUACCAUCAAUGAUCAGUUGAUCACUUUAGAUGUUGAAAAAUGAUUUCUUGUCAACCACACAUCUUGUUUAACAGUUUAGAAAAUUAUCCAAACCCUUUAACAUCAUAAACAACUUGUACAAAAACUGUUCGUUGUCAUAAAGUAUUUAUAGAUUUGACAGAUUCGGCAAAACAAGAACUUACUUACGAAAAAUCGAAUUCAGAAAAUUAACUUUCAAAUAAGUUUCUAAGCAUUUUGAAUAUUAAUAACAAUAUGUGAUUAAAAAACCAGUUCGCAGAUGAGCUAUAAGAAAUAAAGCUACAGUUUCUUUCAAUUUAAGUUCCAUUUUCAUAAACAUGAAAAUCCACAAGCAUAUAAUCAACCCAAAUUAAGCAUUUCAACUUGUUACUUUCUCAAAAUUCAUGCAUUUCAUACCAUGGGGUCAGGGCAGCAAUGAGACAACCAGAAUUUUGGUUUAAAACAUACGAUAUCCCGAAGUAAUAUUGAAUAACAUCAAAUCCCAAAAGAGAAAAGAGUUUUAACAAAAAGAAUUCGAUUAUAACUAGCUAAUGCAAAUCUAACCAAAGAGUUAAGAAAAGAGAGUUAGAAUUCACUUGCCUCAACGUGAUUAUAGAACUCAAGAUCAACAAGCAAAUUGAAAACAUCUGAUUGGGCUCUAAAUCACUAGGCCUUUGGACCCUAAUCUCGGCCCAAAAAGAUUAACCCAUUUAAUCCAUCCAUACCUCAGAGUACAAUGCCCAACUAAUAUGCAUUGCUAUAUAGUUUUCUGAAAUAUAAACACCAUGAAAAUGCAAACAACAAUAUAUAAAACACAUGGCAGAAAAAUUAAAAUACAGGGCACUACACUUACCAACCCUCAUUGAGUCAUUGGACCUACAACCCGAGCCACGCCUUCCCUCUGGUGCAAUUGCUGCAGUGCGGUGAGCAACAGUCUGCGCCAACACAUACAUACAACCAAACAAAGAUAGCCAACAGUACCCACCAUAAACAACGCACGAAGUAUCAUGAAAACAGAGGAAAUAUUACAAAGGAACAAGAGUUUUACAGUCCAACCCAUUUGAUGUUGUUGUUAUUGUUUCUUUGUUCCCAUUGAUGUCAGCUGUAGGCCAAACAGAGUCGUUCUGUACAGGUCCUUGACUCCUUCUCACCCGGUUGGCUAGUUCCAGUCACUUAUAAGUUCUGCUAAUCGGUGCUACGUUAAGUCCACACAUGACGCUAGCAAGUGCAGUCAGCCAGUCACAGCUAUAGUAGGUCCUUAAGUACAACACCACCAAGCUUUUUU